GGGGCAGUCGGAGUCAAUAAGUGGCAUUCAGUGGAGGGCAGUCGAUGUCAAUAAGGGGCAUUCAGUGGGGGGCAGUCGAUGUCAAUAAGUGGAAUUCAGUGGGGGGCAGUCGGUGUCAAUAAGGGGCAUUCAGUGGGGGGCAGUCGGUGUCAAUAAGUGGCAUUCAGUGGGGGGCAGUCGGUGUCAAUAAGGGGCAUUCAGUGGGGGGCAGUCGAUG